UUCUCUUGGGCUAUUCCCAGUGACUGGUCACAGUUAAAGUCGUGAUGGCCCAAUCAUGUGACAUUCAUGGUCCCUCAGUGAGCUAUUGGGGACCCUUCAACUCCUGGCCACAGCUUCCUUAGAACUCCCGGCUUCAGUCUGUAUCCCCUCUAGCCUUUCCUAGGUAUGUCAGACCUGCGUUAUGGCUUCUUCAAGAUCUCUGCUCUCCUCUUGCUUUCUUUUGUCUUUCUCAGGUGUCCCCUCAACACAACUGCUGCACAGUGACCUUUGUCUUGGUGUCUGCUGCUAGGAUCUGAACUGACACAUCAGACAUUCCAGUCUCUGACCACCACCUUCCUAUCCUGAGUUGUUUGCUGACCUCAUUUUUCUACUGUUGAGUAGGCCAUGUCUUGGCUCUAUUUCCUUGACUAGCCCAGAUUCUACAGUCUAUUAUCGUAAUCAUGCCUCGAAAUGCAAAUUCUCUCAGCACUCUCAAACCUCAGUUUCUUCGAAAUUAUUUUUCUAGCAAAAAAAUAUCCAACCCUGGGUAUAGGUAACUUCUGUCUUGCUCUAGCCAGACUGUAACAACGGAUUUCGUUUAAGAAGAAAUCAUGAAACCAACCAACCUGUUCAAUUUCCAAGACAUUAUUGCAAAUCCUAAAUUGGUGUUUUUUCCUAUGGUCGUCUCAGUCCUUCACUUUUAGACCUACUGUUUCUUUGCAUGAAUCUCCCCAGAAUGUGCCGUUUGUUUUGAUAUUUCCCUGAGAACUAAGAGUUAUAGACAGAGCUCCUCAGCUCCCUACUACAGUGCGUGGAACUGAUCUAUUUUGUGACUGUGAAGGGAGCCCCUUCUUCUCUCAGUGCCCUGAGUCUCACUCCCUCUUGCUUUUUGAAAAACUUCAGGUUCUCUUCUUUCUCUCUUCUGUACCAUCAUUCUCCCCACCUCUUAAUUAUCAGUUGCAGUAAAGGGUGUCACCAUUCAGCAACAAUUUGGGGGUCAUCUUUGCUACUUUUAUGACUAGUUCCUUACAAAGCAACCCAUCUUAAUCGAUCAGUUUUAUUGCUCAAAUAUGCCUUUUUGUUUUUUGUUUUUGUUUUUGUUUUUGUUUGUUUUGAGAAAGGAGCUCUCGUACACAUAGUGCUGAUUCGCCUGGAACUCACUAUGUAACAGGUUAGCUUUGAAUUUGUAACAAUGUCUUUGCUUCUGCCUCCUAAACCCUGGAUUACAGGUGUGUACAAUCAUGCCUGACUUAAAAUUGACUUUAAUUUGUCUCCUUCCAAACUCAGUGCUAUGACCAACAUAUUUUCUCAUGCCUGGUCUCUCGGGUACCACUUUUGACAUACUUUAGUACCUUUUUGAUAACCUGGUAAUAGUGACCUUUCUCAUCCAUUAAAUCAAAUCAUCUAUUGCUUGUAGAAUAAAAUUGAACCCCCUUACCAUGGCUCACAAAACCAUGCACCAUCUGACCCUUUUCUAGUUCUUGAACAGCCUCUGGACCCUUCUCUCACUGUUUACCAUGCGUGCCCAUGUAACAUGCCAAGCAAGUUUUUUUUUUCUGUACCUCAGGGGGUUAGUAAAUGCUACUAUUUCUAAGCUGCUUUUCAUGGCCACCCUCUCUCCUCCAUUACAAUUUAUCCUGUAGAUGGGUGCAGAGUUUUGAGAGAGGCCUCCCUGGAGUACCAUGUUGAAGUAGUCAUGACCUCCCAACCAUUUCCUCUCCCAGUUCUUUAUUUGUAAUCUUAUUUAUUUGUUGACUCUGACUUAUCUCCACUUCCCCAUUCCAGAAUGUAUGAAGGAAGAAAUAGUGUGUGGAUGUCUGGAUUCUUCAACACUGCAUUCUCUGUCCAUAGCCGAUUUGGUGCAUAUUAGGUGCACAAUCAAUGUCUUGAAAGAAUACAUGAAUACAUAUGCAAAUUUCUCUGUUGGGGAUUCACUUUCUAUUGAUGUAGUAAAAGUUGUUUAUAUAUUAAAACCACUAAUCAUUUGUUUAUUCUGUUUGUUGCAGACAUUUCUUCCCCAAUUUGUGCCAGUUUAAUUCUUAAUGUCUAUGAUGUACAGAAAUACUGUAUUUUCACAACAAUAAAUACCCUUUAUGAAUCCUGCACCCGGUGAUAUGUUUAAAAAAUCUCCAUGUCAGUGUUACAUGCAUGUUUGUUUCCUUUCAUUUUAAUUUUUUAGAUUUAAAUAUUUUCUCUAAAUGGAAUUUAUUUUUGGUAUAGAUGUAUAAGGGCCUAAGUAUUUAUUUAGUCGUUACAUCAUCAUUUAUUGAAAGUUCUCUCUUUUUUCUACUGUUUUGAAUAUUUCACAUUUAUCAGAUAUUAAAUUUCUUAUACC
rnacentral:lncRNA from 1 species